GAACGAACGCUGGCGGCAUGCCUAACACAUGCAAGUCGAACGAGACCUUCGGGUCUAGUGGCGCACGGGUGCGUAACGCGUGGGAACCUGCCCUUAGGUUCGGAAUAACUCCCCGAAAGGGGUGCUAAUACCGGAUAAUGUCUUCGGACCAAAGAUUUAUUGCCUUUGGAUGGGCCCGCGUUGGAUUAGCUAGUUGGUAGGGUAAAAGCCUACCAAGGCGACGAUCCAUAGCUGGUCUGAGAGGAUGAUCAGCCACACUGGGACUGAGACACGGCCCAGACUCCUACGGGAGGCAGCAGUGGGGAAUAUUGGACAAUGGGCGAAAGCCUGAUCCAGCAAUGCCGCGUGAGUGAUGAAGGCCUUAGGGUUGUAAAGCUCUUUUACCCGGGAUGAUAAUGACAGUACCGGGAGAAUAAGCUCCGGCUAACUCCGUG
rnacentral:rRNA from 1 species